rnacentral:rRNA from 1 species
UACGUAGGGGGCAAGCGUUGUCCGGAAUCAUUGGGCGUAAAGAGCGUGUAGGCGGCCCGGUAAGUCCGCUGUGAAAGUCCAGGGCUCAACCCUGGGAUGCCGGUGGAUACUGUCGGGCUCGAGUCCGGAAGAGGAGAGUGGAAUUCCCGGUGUAGCGGUGAAAUGCGCAGAUAUCGGGAAGAACACCCGUGGCUAAGGCGGCUCUCUAGUACGGUACUGACGCUGAGACGCGAAAGCGUGGGGAGCGAACAGG